UUGACCUCAAAAUCAGGUAGGACUACCCGCUGAACUUAAGCAUAUCAAUAAGCGGAGGAAAA
rnacentral:rRNA from 1 species